rnacentral:rRNA from 1 species
AUGGAGGAAAAGAAACCAACAGGGAUUGCCUCAGUAGCGGCGAGUGAAGCGGCAAAAGCUCAAAUUUGAAAUCUGGCGUCUUUGGCGUCCGAGUUGUAAUUUGAAGAAGGUAUCUUUGGGCCCGGCUCUUGUCUAUGUUCCUUGGAACAGGACGUCACAGAGGGUGAGAAUCCCGUGCGAUGAGAUGGCCCGGGUCUAUGUAAAGUUCCUUCGACGAGUCGAGUUGUUUGGGAAUGCAGCUCUAAGUGGGUGGUAAAUUCCAUCUAAAGCUAAAUAUUGGCGAGAGACCGAUAGCGAACAAGUACAGUGAUGGAAAGAUGAAAAGAACUUUGAAAAGAGAGUGAAAAAGUACGUGAAAUUGUUGAAAGGGAAGGGCUUGAGAUCAGACUUGGUAUUUUGCAAGUUACUCUUUCGGGGGUGGCCUCUGCGGUUUACCGGGCCAGCAUCGGUUUGGAGCGGUAGGAUAAUGGCGGGGGAAUGUGGCACGACUUUGGUUGUGUGUUAUAGCCUCUGACGAUACUGCCAGCCUAGACCGAGGACUGCGGUUUUUACCUAGGAUGUUGGCAUAAUGAUCUAAAGU